UACGUAGGGGCUAGCGUUAUCCGGAAUUACUGGGCGUAAAGGGUGCGUAGGCGGUCUUUCAAGCCAGAAGUGAAAGGCUACGGCUCAACCGUAGUAAGCUUUUGGAACUGUGAGACUUGAGUGCAGGAGAGGAGAGUGGAAUUCCAUGUGUAGCGGUGAAAUGCGUAGAUAUAUGGAGGAACACCAGUGGCGAAGGCGACUCUCUGGUCUGUAACUGACGCUGAGGCUCGAAAGCGUGGGGAGCAAACAGGAUUAGAUACCCU
rnacentral:rRNA from 1 species